GCCUGGCUCACAGUCCCAGCCUGAGCCGUGCUUGGGUCCUGCAGAGAAAACAAACACUUAGCUUCAUCCUACCCUGUUUUACAGCAGAACUGCCAUUUGAGGGAGGAUUUGGAGAGAAGACAUCUUCUUUCAGAUCCCUUUUGCAACGCUGGACCUCGCUCUAGAGAGCAUCCCAGCAGCUAAGGGGUGAUCCUUUGGCAGCAGCUUUCCUGCAGUCACCGGGUCCCUGCCUUGUGCCCAGUGCCCUCUCCUCCUUCCCAGCCCCAUCUCCAGAGGGGCUGCACUUGCAGCUCUCCCGGCAGUGGCUCCGGGAAGGGCAGUGUCCUCCUCCGGGACGAUUUGUGCCCUGGCACCGGAGCAGCGGGGCUGAGCCAGCGCGGGGGGUGAGCGGUGGCCCAGCCGGUGCCUCUUGGCUCCGCUCGGCCCUGGGGUGCUGAGCUUAGGAUUUCUGGCCUUGGAGUCCUUCUGCAUUGGCCAGGGGAUUUCAAGGGGAGUUUUUGGCCGAGCAGGGAGAUGCUGCAAUACACCAGCAAGCUGGAGCCUCGAGGAGCACCCACGUGUUGGAAUCUCAGCAUCCUCCAUGGCUGGAGCAUUACCAGCCCUGCCUGUGGAGCUUCACUGGAGCUGGACACUCCAUCCUUGAGAUGCAGAAGCCUAUGAGGGAGCUGAGCACCACAGCAUGGGGAGCUGAGGACAUCACUGUGAUGGGAUGUGAGCAAUGGGCAGCGCUGGCCUUCCCCUCCUCUGGCUCUCACCCGGGGAACCCUGCACUGGAAAAUGGCAUCAUCUCCACGUACACACCAUGGCAGCCAAGGGAACAAGGGCACAAAUCCCUCCUCAGGCAGGUUUUGCCACCCUGGCCCUUUGUGGGACCUGUGCUGUCAUCUCCUCUGAUCUGCCACAGCGGCCAGAUCCCGAAUGAGGCUGAUUUUAUCCACACAGCAACAUCAGUGCCAUGUACCCAGGGGAGAAGGAAUCCUUGAUUUAGCAGACAUGACCAGACCGGGUCAGAAAAUGGAUAUUGUUCCAUAAAGGCAGUGGGGGACAAGGACAAACAGGAGUGACCUCCCAUGAUUUCCUGAGGCCCAAGGGAGCUGAGGAGCUGCAGGACGAGUGUACAUUGGGGUGCCCAGCUCUGGGAUUCACAUCCCCACUGCUUGGAGAAGGUGUGUGCAUCCCCUGGACUCUGGGGUGAGGCCGAGGUGUCCAUCUGACCAUCAGCUGUUGGUCUGGGGAGCAGCUCCAUGGGCACUCACGGCCAAACGCUGCCUGCCGGGGAGCUGCCCCUCCACUGGGACACCCCAACCUUCCUCCCCCACUGGCCCUGCCUGCCAUGCCCUCAGCCCCAUAACCUGGGCUUGCAGGGAGACUUGAACCAACAGCUGCACCCCAAAAGCAGCCAAAGCUGGGUCAGGAAUUGUUUGCACCCGUGGCCUCCUCCACAGCCGCUGCUGUGAGGGCACCUGGGGCUGGGCUCGGGGGGCGCGGGCGAUGGAGGGACCCUCCGAAGAGCCCCUUGUGCUGGAGGGAGCCCAGCUAACCGCCGGCAGGGUAUUUUUUUUCUCCCUCACUCUUUGUUAAGCUCCCUUUCAGCUGAAAUGGCAAUGCCUGGGUGUUCUGAGCUGACAAUAAUUGCUGCAGUCUAGACACUGUCUGGUAUGAGGCACGGGGAAUCAAAGAGGCCCCUUCUCUCACUGCGACUUUCACACAUGCUCCCUCGCUCCGGCUCCUUCCUUCUCCCUCUCCCAUGUUCCCUUGGUCUUUGCCUUCUUUUUUCCCCCCCCUUGUUCCCCUCUAUCUGCCUCUCGCCGAGAUGGAGGAGAAGCGUCAGCAUCUUCCCCCCCACGCUCUCCCUCUCUGCCGUCUGUUCCUCUCUCCCGCUCCCCCUCUCCCUCGCUCCUUCUCUCAUCUGUCUCCUCUCUCCUUCCUCCACUCUUACCUUUAUGCUAUUCCCUUCCUCCCAAAGUUAGCAGAGAAGCAGGAGGGAGGGCUGGCAGUGCGGGGGUUUAACUCUUUCCUCACCCUCUCGUAGGUUCUCCUCCCCAUCCCAGCCCCUUGCUGGGGUCCAGGGUGUCUCUGCUGUUUUGGGGUGCUGGGCUCCUCUUGGGGCUGUGGCAUUGGUCCUGCAGGGGCUUGAGGAGGUGCUGUCAGGGCUGGUCUGGGUCAGGGCAGAGGGGGCUGGACCUGGAUCCAAGGGGAUCUCCUUUGCUUUCUUUUUACCUUGCCCACACCACAGGUGUCUCUGGCUGCAAGGGAUUCCAUCCUUGGGGACACAGGCUGUUCCUUCAAGUGCUCUAGAAAGCCAAAGGGUUUUUUUUCCCACCCACUCCAGACCUCAGCAGAGCUUGCUGUGCUGCUGGGAGACUGAUCCCAGCUCAAACAUGGCCCACAGCAAUGCUCUGCUCAGGCUGAGCUCACAGCUGUCCCGUGCCCGCUGCGGGCUCCGGCCGGGCCACGUCCCUCUGGCAUUUCCAUGGGAUUCCAUGUGCUCAGCUCCAGUCAUGCUCAGGAAUUAGGCUUCUCUGCUACAAUGUAUGAACAGAUCAUUUCCAGCUGAGCCCUGCACUUCUGUUAACCUCUGAUCCCUGUGCAGAACACCCGUUUGCUAUAGAGCCCAACAAACCCUGUCAAGUUUUAGUUCACGUGAGAUUUUAUUGCAGAGAAUGGGCCAUAAGUGGGGAAACUGAGGCAAGAGACAGUGAACAAAUUGGGUCAGUCUGCUGAGCUCAAAUCUGCCACGGGGCCACACAAUCCCCUUCUGUGGGACCCAAAUUUGUCCAAAUCCAUGGACACAAGUGAGCAGCCCUCCUGCAACCUCCAGCAUCUCACCUCCAGCCGUGCUGCUGCUUACCAUGGAAAAGUCACACUAGGAAAGUAUGUGAUGUAUUUUUAACUGUCUAUAAUGCAAUUUAACAGCUGGAAAGGAGGAAGAACGCCAGCCCCAUGCAAUCCACAAGAUCUCUGCUGUCUUCAAGUGAGGGCUCUGUGGACUGAAGGGUUUUUGGUAUGGUUGGAGACCUUGUUUGGGAAAAUGGCAGGAAACAACAUCAUCCUGGAGAUGGGCUCUGACUCAUGAAAGUCAAUGUGUGCAGGAUGGAGGUGAGAGUGCUCAGCAGCUCCCAGGGUGACACACUUGUCCCCAGAAGCCACCAUGCUGAGUGUUGUGGGCAGAUCAAGUCCCCAAAGAGCUCAGCCUCUUGGCUGUGCUUUGACUUUGGGAUUCUUUGCAAGCUCUGGCAACGGGGCCUGCAGUGGAGAUUCUGGGAUCCCCUCUGCACUGGAGGCAUUUACCACAGGACAUCUUUUCCCCUGCCAUUCCCAGUGCCAGGUUCCUGCCAUGCUCCCAGGGCUGAUGUGCUGUGGAUGUGGGUGCUGCCAGACUGCACCAUCACCCUCCUGCCCCAGGAUGGGAGGGGUGUGUGCCCCCCAUGCUGCUCUCCCACCAACCCCCAACACCUCCUUCUGUGCAGGGAGGGAGCCCAGCAGGGCUGUGGUGUCAGCAGGAUGCUGUGCCCAGGAUCUGAUGCAUCUCCUGCCUUCCCUGCCCACAUCCCAUGGGAGCCUCUGCCUCCAGUGCACCGAGACCCUGACAGUGAGGGGCAGAAUGGCCUCUGUUUGUGUUCCUCUGUGCCAGCCAGCUGGAAGUGCUCCUGAUGCCAUUAAUGGGUCUCUAAUAGGGCUGAACUCUAGUGAAGAUCCUCUGUGGUGUGGUGGCUCUUUGGGCAACCACAGUAGGGCUUAUCUGGGGUGUUGGGGUUGGUUUGCUGCCCCCAAGCAGGUGGGUGCUAAAAGGGAGUGAGUUUGCUGCCAUCACUGGCAUUACUCCACUUCUGCCCCACAACAGUCUCCAAUACUAAAAGAAAGAGAGUGAGACCCAUCUUCAGCCUUUUCCCAGAGGACACCCCAGGGCAAGGCUCCUGUGAGGCACUGAUUUUCCCCAGGGCAGCGUUUGGGAGCUGGGAGCUGCUGGCAGCUGGUUCCUAUAUUCAGGCCUUUGCACACACGCUGAAAAAUGAGCAAUGGGACGGCCCAGUAUGGAGGAGGCUCAGUGAGGGGAGUCUCUGCUGAGCACUUGGAGGAUGUAGGACCCAGGGAUGCUGCCAUUUGCUCACCUUUUUGUGGGGGAUUUUGUCUCCUUGGGCUGGGGCAGAGCAUUGCUGGGCUUAGAAAGGGCUGAGAGAGGGAGAGCAAGCAGAAACACAGGCACAGGGAAGAGAAACAACUUGCUGAAGGUCAUCCCCGGGCCAGUGGCACAACCAGGAAUAAAAUCCAGGUGUGCUGAAUCGCUCCUUAGGUUGUAUUCAUGCAUGUGGUUGCAUUAACACUGCUGUCCCUGAGCAGGGGCCGGUACUAGAAAUUGUUUCCCAAAGCCACUGGUGCCCUCCAGAGAACCACAGUGCUGUGGGGUUGGGAGAAAGGGAGAUCUGCAUGUUUGGGGUCCCUUUUCCCCUUAGAGCGUCUUCCAAGCCUCGCUGUGUGGAUGGGGAAUGCUGUUGGAUGCCGGCUGAUAAGGCAGAGUGGUUAAAAACACUGCCUUUAUUUGGAGGCUUAUCUCCAAAUCCUAAUGAAAACACAGAGGGAAGCCGGGGACAGCGGAGGGGGAGGACUCACACCCCAGCGUGGUGGGGACCCAGCUGGGCCAUGCUGAGCAGGGCCACCUGGUGGGGUUUGGAGUCUGGGGCUUUAAAAGCUUUGGGACAAAACCCAAGGAGCCAGGGCACGACCACAGGCCCCACACCCAGGCAGGGAGAGCCUGCAGGGGCAGCUGCAGGCCCGCUCUGAGUGCCCUGAAUUUGGGAUUCCUCCAGAGUUUUCUUUUAAUUAGGGGCUCAAUGAGGAAGAAAAAGCUUGAAACCAAGGAAACAGGGGAGACCAGAAAGGAAAAUGCCAGAUCCUGCAAGACAGAGUGAGCUGGCUCCAGCACCCUGGGGUGAGGCUGGGUGCUGUCCCUGCUGCCCUGACCACUCCUCCGUGGCUGUGGUGCAAAAAGGUGACCAAACUGAGAUGCAA